GCCGGGGGGAGGUGGAGGAUGGAGGGAGGAGUGGGGGCGGGCCGGCUCAGAGUAGGCUUAGGGCCCGCGCUUUUGCCUGGGCGGCCAGUCGGUGGCCGGGAGCGCGCAGCGCGCGGCCGCCCGGGCACCUGCUCCCCGCGUGCACGCCCGGCGCGCCCGCUGCACACCUCUGUCCCGGGAACCUGGCGGCUCUGCGGCCCUCCAACCCCCCGCGCCUCAGGCCACCCAGGAGCCUGGGCCAUCUCGACGUCAUCGGCGCGUUGGCUACCGCCGCGGCUCUUCUCCCUCUGCGCCUCCCGCCGUUUUGUGUCCCUAAACUAAGUUCUCUCCGGUGCGUUUAAGUGGAGAUUGUGGCUCAUCUGCGCAAUCUAAACAUUUUGCACUAGGGUGGAAUUCCGAGGACGCAAUUGCGCCGUUGAGGUUGCAGUGAAUCAAUCGGUCGCCUGGAGCUGUGGGUCUUUUCGACGGUGAUGCGCGCUUCUUCUCUGGGUGACCAACAGGGGACGCUAGUGGUCCAGGAUUGAAUCGACAAUUGCACUUUCCAAGGCUCUUCUACGAAGCGUUUGUGGAUCAGCAGUGGGAACUGGCAACACCCCGCAGGAGGGGAAUUUCCUGGGCACAGUUGAGCAUGGAUACUUGUCCUACGAGGUGGGCAGGUACUUGGAGGGAGCUUUUGCAGUUUGCGGUAGGAAUAGCUAACAGGACCCCCUUGCGCUGCUCUCGGCACGCUGGCCAUCCUACUAAGCAGCUGGGGUGAACUUGACAUCCACACACCUACCUGGGUAGGUGUGUGAUGUGUGUGUACAUACCUUGCCGAUUCACUCAUAGAGCAUAAGCAAACCAUAAGAUAAAAUAAUAGUCACAUUGAGAUUCCACAAAGGAGAAGAGGCCAACGACAAAAGAGGGGCGGGGUCCCGGGCCCCGCAAAGGCGCAGCGCCUCCGGUUCUACUGGCGCCCGCCUGAGCAAGCUGCGGAGACGCCCUGUGAACUCAGUGCGCCUCGCGGCCCCUCUCCCUUUCUCCUCCCGCCUGGUAGCUGCGUGGUGCCUGCUUUGACGGCCACGGGCAGGGUCUCCGAUUUCAUUGGAAAAUCAAAGGAAGAACGAAAGGCCCUCAGGGUUACAUUUUGUUCCUGAAAUAACCACGGAACCUCAGUUCUGAAAUCGAGCCGGGUUCUGUAUCCAAGGAUACUUGCUUGAGGUCGCAGGCCCGCCUUCUGUCCGAUACCAUGUUAUGCGGAGCCGGCUGCUGUGUGACACGGGACAGGGUGGCAAUGUGGCACUUUGUCACAGUGUUAUCCUUUGAGGGGUGGGCGCGGACGCCCGGGGGUCCUGGGCUCUGCUGACCUGCCAGCUGUGCUCGCGCGUUCCGCGCAGAGUCCCUAGGGGGCGCCGGGACCCCGAAAAGUGCGUUACAUUGUAACUCAGUGAUCUUCCUUGACAACGUUCUGUAUACGCUGUCAUCGCCUUUUUCUUGAAAUCGUGCAACAGCGAAAUAAAUCUCCUGCAGUGACGUGGGGAGAA